rnacentral:rRNA from 1 species
CGGAUUCUGGCUCAGGAUGAACGCUGGCGGCGUGCCUAACACAUGCAAGUCGAGCGGAGAUAAUGCACCGGAUGAAGAUUCGUCGGAUUCCACCGCGUUAUCUAGCGGCGGAUGGGUGAGUAACACGUGGACAACCUGCCCAUAACUGGGGGAUAGCAGUUGGAAACGACUGAUAAUACCGCAUAUGCUCACAGCACCGCAUGGUGCAGGGAGGAAAGAUUUAUCGGUUAUGGAUGGGUCCGCGUCGGAUUAACUAGUUGGUGAGGUAACGGCCCACCAAGGUGAUGAUCCGUAGCCGGCCUGAGAGGGCGACCGGCCACAUUGGGACUGAGACACGGCCCAGACUCCUACGGGAGGCAGCAGUGGGGGAUAUUGCACAAUGGGCGCAAGCCUGAUGCAGCGACGCCGCGUGAAGGAAGAAGUACUCCGGUAUGUAAACUUCUAUCAGCAGGGAAGAAGAUGACGGUACCUGACUAAGAACGCCCCGGCUAACUACGUGCCAGCCGCGGC